UUUUUUAGAUAUUUUGAAAUAAGUAAGCUAUACAUUUUUUUCACUUUCUUAAGUGGGCUAGUACUCAUUAGCAGUUGUAUGUCAAACCAUGAAACAUUAAGCUGCGUCCAGUCUUAAAAAACGACUUCAAAAAUCUUCUGCCGAUACUGAUCAUGCAUAUGGCAAAGAAAAACAUGAGAUCGUUGGUCUUGGAAUUUAGAAAAUGCAUCGCACU